rnacentral:rRNA from 1 species
ACGGAAGGCAGCAGUGAGGAAUAUUGGUCAAUGGAGGCAACUCUGAACCAGCCAUCUCGCGUGAAGGAAUACGGCCCUACGGGUCUUAAACUUCUUUUAUAGGGGGAUAAAGUGAGCCACGAGUGGCUUUUUGUAGGUACCCUAUGAAUAAGCAUCGGCUAACUCCGUGCCAGCAGCCGCGGUAAUACGGAGGAUGCGAGCGUUAUCCGGAUUUAUUGGGUUUAAAGGGUGCGCAGGCGGCACGUUAAGUCAGCGGUGAAAUGUCGGGGCUCAACCCGGGCACUGCCGUUGAAACUGGCGAGCUUGAGUACGGAUGAAGUCGGCGGAAUGUGAUGUGUAGCGGUGAAAUGCUUAGAUAUGUCACAGAACUCCGAUUGCGAAGGCAGCUUACCAGCAUACAACUGACGCUGAGGCACGAAAGCGUGGGUAUCAAACAGGAUUAGAUACCCUGGUA